GUGAUGGACAAGCCUCCACAUGAUAAGGGGGGCCUUCAGGAUCAAAACCAACUUUCCCACAGAGUACUCAUUCAAACCACCAAAGAUCACAUUUAAAACAAAGACCUAUCACCUGAACAUUGAUGAAAAGGGGAAGGUCUGUUUGCCAGUAAUUAGUGCUGAAAACUAGAAGCUGGCAACCAAAACCAACUAAGUAAUCCAGUCAGUCUUUCAUAGCACUGAUGAUCUAUCCUCAGCCCAAGCAUCCCCUUUGGCCUGACUUACCUGAAGAAUACUCUAAGGAUCAUAAAAAAUUCUGUAAGAAUGCUGGAGAGUUUACAAAGCAAUACAGUCAAAAGCGACUUGCAGACUAA
rnacentral:lncRNA from 1 species